rnacentral:rRNA from 1 species
GGCUCAUUAAAUCAGUUAUCGUUUAUUUGAUAGUACCUUACUACAUGGAUACCUGUGGUAAUUCUAGAGCUAAUACAUGCUAAAAACCCCGACUUCAGGAAGGGGUGUAUUUAUUAGAUAAAAAACCAACGCCCUUCGGGGCUCCUUGGUGAAUCAUAAUAACUUAACGAAUCGCAUGGCCUUGCGCCGGCGAUGGUUCAUUCAAAUUUCUGCCCUAUCAACUUUCGAUGGUAGGAUAGUGGCCUACCAUGGUGGCAACGGGUAACGGGGAAUUAGGGUUCGAUUCCGGAGAGGGAGCCUGAGAAACGGCUACCACAUCCAAGGAAGGCAGCAGGCGCGCAAAUUACCCAAUCCCGAUACGGGGAGGUAGUGACAAUAAAUACUGAUACGGGGCUCUUUUGGGUCUCGUAAUUGGAAUGAGAACAAUUUAAAUCCCUUAACGAGGAACAAUUGGAGGGCAAGUCUGGUGCCAGCAGCCGCGGUAAUUCCAGCUCCAAUAGCGUAUAUUAAAGUUGUUGCAGUUAAAAAGCUCGUAGUUGAACCUUGGCUCUGGCUGGCCGGUCCGCCUCACCGCGAGUACUGGUCCGGCUGGAGCUUUCCUUCUGGGGAACCUCAUGGCCUUCACUGGCUGUGGGGGGAACCAGGACUUUUACUGUGAAAA